rnacentral:rRNA from 1 species
AUUGAACGCUGGCGGCAUGCCUUACACAUGCAAGUCGAACGGCAGCACGGGAGCAAUCCUGGUGGCGAGUGGCGAACGGGUGAGUAAUAUAUCGGAACGUGCCCAGUCGUGGGGGAUAACGCAGCGAAAGAUGUGCUAAUACCGCAUAAGAUCUACGGAUGAAAGCGGGGGAUCGCAAGACCUCGCGCGAUUGGAGCGGGCGAUAUCAGAUUAGCUAGUUGGUGGGGUAAAGGCCCACCAAGGCGACGAUCUGUAGCUGGUCUGAGAGGAAGGCCAGCCACACUGGAACUGAGACACGGUCCAGACUCCUACGGGAGGCAGCAGUGGGGAAUUUUGGACAAUGGGCGCAAGCCUGAUCCAGCAAUGCCGCGUGCAGGAUGAAGGCCUUCGGGUUGUAAACUGCUUUUGUACGGAACGAAACGGCCCUUUCUAAUACAGGGGGCUAAUGACGGUACCGUAAGAAUAAGCACCGGCUAACUACGUGCCAGCCGCCGCAGUAA